rfam:Ictidomys tridecemlineatus contig035812, whole genome shotgun sequence.
GGGGUUGUGGCUCAGUGGCAGAGCACUUGCCUAUCAAGUGUGAGGCACUGGGUUUGAUUCUCAGCACCA